CGAGUCGAUUUAUACUAAUUUUUAAAGUUUGUUAAAGUGUUUGAGGUUGUUUGUUUAUGAAAAAUAAUUUUAUGAAAAUUUAGUAUUGAUAAUUGAAUUUUUAUAUUAACUAUAGAUAAUAAGUACCGAAAGGGAAAUAAUAAAUUGGGAUAUAAAUUUAUAUAGCAGAUUUAAAAAUUUGUACCUUGUGUAUUAGGGAGAGUUUAAAUAAAGUAUGUAUUAUGUGUUUCUCGAAAUAAAAAUAGCUAAUUUUAUAAAAGGUUUAUGUUAUAUAAUGAUCUUAAAUGUAAAAUUAAAGAUGAAAUGUUAUACGAGUUUUAUAAUAUCUAGUUUUCUAGUAAAUAAAUAUAAUUUAGCUUUUGAAGAUAUAAAUGUUUAAAAAAGUAAAAGCAGGAGGGAUAAGCUUCUUGUUUUAAAUAGUAAUAAAAGUUAUAUAAGUUAUUAAUCUCUUAUUUAAGCUUAAAAGUAGCUAUAAUUGGAAAGUGUUUUAACUGAAGAGUAUUUUAUAAUUAUUUAUCUGUAACUUUAAUUGAUAUUGGAAUAUUUUUAUAAAUUGAUCAUAAUUAGAAAUAAUGAGUCUAUUAGUAUAAUGUAUUUAUGUUUAUUAGGUGAAAUAAAAUAAAAAUGAAUUUAUAAUAAGGUAAUGAUAUAAUAAAGGAACUCGGCAAAUGUUUCUUUUGCCUGUUUAUCAAAAACAUGUCUAUUUGAAGAUAUAAAUAGUCUGGCCUGCUCACUGAUAUAAAUUAUAUUGAAGAGCCGCGGUAUUUUGACUGUGCAAAGGUAGCAUAAUAAUUAGUUUUUUAAUUGAAAGCUUGUAUGAAUGGUUGGACAAAAAGGAUGCUGUCUACUAAUAUAAAAGUAAAAGUUGACUUUUAAGUGAAAAGGCUUAAAUUGUUCAGAGGGACGAUAAGACCCUAUAAAGCUUUAUAUGUUGUUUAAAUUUGAUUGAAUUUAGUAUAUAAAAUUUUGGUUUAAGUAAAGUAUUUUGCUGGGGCGGCAUAGGUAUAAUUUUAAUUAACUGUUUAAUAAAAAUACAGUAAUAGUUGGUUUAUUGUUAAUAGAUCCUUUUUUAAGAUUUGAGAACAAGUUACUUUAGGGAUAACAGCGUUAUUUUUUUUGAGAGUUCUUAUCGAAAAAAAAGUUUGCGACCUCGAUGUUGAAUUAAAUUGUCUAUAUAGUGCAGCAGCUAUAUAAGAAGGUCUGUUCGACCUUUAAAUGUUUACAUGAUUUGAGUUCAGACCGGCGUGAGCCAGGUCGGUUUCUAUCUUCUGAAAAAUAAUAAUCAUUUUAGUACGAAAGGAUUUAGUGAUUAAAAAAGUUUUGUUGAAUGAAAUGGCUAUUUUGGCAGAUAAUAUGCGUUAGAUUUAGGAUUUAAUUAAAU
rnacentral:rRNA from 1 species